rnacentral:rRNA from 1 species
UACGUAGGUGACAAGCGUUGUCCGGAUUUAUUGGGCGUAAAGAGCUCGUAGGCGGUUCCGUAAGUCAGAUGUGAAAACUCAGGGCUCAACCCGGAGACGCCAUCUGAUACUGCGGUGACUGGAGUCUGGUAGGGGAUCACGGAAUACCUGGUGUAGCGGUGAAAUGCGCAGAUAUCAGGUGGAACACCGGUGGCGAAGGCGGCAUCCUGGACCGACAUCGAACGCUGGAGGCGCGGAAAGCCUAGGGGAGCAAACGGG